rnacentral:lncRNA from 1 species
GUGAUGGCAACUUGUUGGAGAUCACUGUAUACCUGAGGUCUUCUAAAGGUAAGUAGCCUUUUUUCCUUUGUUUUUGCGUCCAUGGUUGCUGCAUUUGGGCUUCUCUGUUUGCUGUAGCUAAAGACUUUGCUAUCCUGCUAUUACUGCUGUAUUUUUCAUCACGUUAUAGCAUUACACUAUGAAAUGCUUGGCCUCUCCACUUUGUUAUGUUGGAGCUGCAAGACUCUCCCUGGCUUGAAUCAAGAUUAGGUGUCAAUUCUGAGCAAGGAAUUCUUAUGCUGCAUGACAGCAGAUGACCCUGCCUUUUGCAUGGGUCCUUUGUACAGCCAUGGGCUGGCCCAUGCUGGAGAAGACCCCAGGAGAUGGGCUGUACCAGUCUUGCAGUUCUAGAGCCAUGCCUGUCUAAUAGGCACAGAUUCUUCUGUGUCCUGGUCCCAUCUCGUCUGAUGACAGCAACAGAUGUGCCACGUGGAUCAGACAUGGGCUGCUCGUUGUGCAGGGAGGAGCAGGGAGACAAUGCCCAUCACCUGAAAUGCAGAGUGGGAGGGCUGCAGGGUGCUGAGCAUUUCCUAUCCCUUGCAUGUUUUCUCUUAGAUGUGAUGUCUGAUGUGAUCGAUUCAGCUCUUCCUCUACAGAUUAGUAUAAAGAAACACAAAAAUCUUCUCUGAGUACCUUGAUAACACCUCCUCAGCUGCUUCAUCAUUACCUAUUGUGAGGCAUUUCCAAAAAAAGAGCAUUUCACUGCGUGGGUCAGGAAUAAGUCCUGUGGUACGGACAAAAGGUGCUGAUGCUCCAUUACACAGACUUGUGCUAGCCGAGGAGCACGCCUGUCUGCACCUCAGGUGUCUUCCAGCAGCUCAGCACCUGCCCAGGUGAAAAAGAGCAAGAAUGAUGGGGCAGGCUCGCUCCCGCUGCCAUCACUCAGAGCAAAGUUCCCCGCUGUGGUGCUGAGAGCCUCAGAGAAAAAAAGCCCUCUCUGCUGAAGCUGUAAUUACGCAAAUCCCUCAGACGAGUUUGUGUCAAAACCAUUGGUCAAGAAACAGUAUUAAUGAGACCUAAUCCACACUUCGGAGGCACCAGAACAUAACACUGCGGCUCAGGGGGUUUAAGGCAGCAGAGUGCACGGCUCAGCAAGGCUUCCUUAAUUUUAUCCCUGCGAUUUGGAGGCUUGUAUCUGCGGAGAAAAAGAAGAGGGAAGAAAACAAAGAAAAAAAACUCAGCAGCUUUAUGAAUUUAACCCUUCCAGAUGUGGCUGGCACACUGAGCUGGCUGGGAGGUUACAAACUGCUGUGGCUGAGCCUAGCCAAAUGCAAGUGCUCUCUGGAAGUUGGUGCCUUUGCAAAGAAUUGUUGAACUAUCACUGAGGUGCUAAACAGGCUAACUGCAAACACAUCUAUUUGCUUCUCCCGGAGCAGGCAGACACCUGGAAACUGCACUGGCGAAGGACUAAAUAAAUUACCUGGGUUAUUUACUGCA